rnacentral:rRNA from 1 species
UACGAAGGGGGGCUAGCGUUGCUCGGAUUCAUUGGGCGUAAAGGGUGCGUAGGCGGCGCGGUAAGUCGGGUGUGAAAUCUCGGAGCUUAACUCCGAAACUGCAUUCGAUACUGCCGUGCUUGAGGACUGGAGAGGAGACUGGAAUUUACGGUGUAGCGGUGAAAUGCGUAGAUAUCGUAAGGAAGACCAGUGGCGAAGGCGGGUUGCUGGGCUGAUACUGACGCUGAGGCGCGAAAGCCAGGGGAGCGAACGGG